rnacentral:rRNA from 1 species
AUUGAACGCUGGCGGCAUGCCUUACACAUGCAAGUCGAACGGUAACAGGUCUUCGGAUGCUGACGAGUGGCGAACGGGUGAGUAAUACAUCGGAACGUGCCCGAUCGUGGGGGAUAACGGAGCGAAAGCUUUGCUAAUACCGCAUAAGAUCUACGGAUGAAAGCAGGGGACCGCAAGGCCUUGCGCGAACGGAGCGGCCGAUGGCAGAUUAGGUAGUGGGUGGGAUAAAAGCUUACCAAGCCGACGAUCUGUAGCUGGUCUGAGAGGACGACCAGCCACACUGGGACUGAGACACGGCCCAGACUCCUACGGGAGGCAGCAGUGGGGAAUUUUGGACAAUGGGCGCAAGCCUGAUCCAGCCAUGCCGCGUGCAGGAUGAAGGCCUUCGGGUUGUAAACUGCUUUUGUACGGAACGAAAAGACUCUUUCUAAUAAAGGGGGUCCAUGACGGUACCGUAAGAAUAAGCACCGGCUAACUACGUGCCAGCCGCCGCCGUAAUAC